CAGUAGCCGCGGUAAUACGUAGGGUGCGAGCGUUAACCGGAAUUACUGGGCGUAAAGCGUGCGCAGGCGGUUAUAUAAGACAGAUGUGAAAUCCCCGGGCUCAACCUGGGACCUGCAUUUGUGACUGUAUAGCUAGAGUACGGUAGAGGGGGAUGGAAUUCCGCGUGUAGCAGUGAAAUGCGUAGAUAUGCGGAGGAACACCGAUGGCGAAAGCAAUCCCCUGGACCUGUACUGACGCUCAUGCACGAAAGCGUGGGGAGCAAACAGGAUUAGAUACCCCUGUAGUCCCUGUCUCUUAUAC
rnacentral:rRNA from 1 species